rnacentral:rRNA from 1 species
UGGGGAAUAUUGGACAAUGGGGGAAACCCUGAUCCAGCCAUGCCGCGUGAAUGAUGAAGGCCUUCGGGUUGUAAAGUUCUUUUGACGGGGACGAUGAUGACGGUACCCGUAGAAUAAGCUCCGGCUAACUUCGUGCCAGCAGCCGCGGUAAUACGGAGGGAGCUAGCGUUGUUCGGAAUUACUGGGCGUAAAGGGCGCGUAGGCGGUUUAACAAGUUGGGUGUGAAAGCCCUGGGCUCAACCCGGGAACUGCACUCAAAACUGUUUUACUUGAAUUCGGUAGAGGUUGGUGGAAUUCCCAGUGUAGAGGUGAAAUUCGUAGAUAUUGGGAAGAACACCGGUGGCGAAGGCGGCCAACUGGACCGACAUUGACGCUGAGGCGCGAAAGCGUGGGGAUCAAACAGG